UGACUGGGCCAAAAUCAAUCUUAAACGGGAG
rnacentral:piRNA from 1 species